UACGUAGGGGGCAAGCGUUGUUCGGAAUUAUUGGGCGUAAAGAGCUCGUAGGCGGUUUGUCGCGUCUGCCGUGAAAGUCCGGGGCUCAACUCCGGAUCUGCGGUGGGUACGGGCAGACUAGAGUGAUGUAGGGGAGACUGGAAUUCCUGGUGUAGCGGUGAAAUGCGCAGAUAUCAGGAGGAACACCGGUGGCGAAGGCGGGUCUCUGGGCCGAUACUGACGCUGAGGAGCGAAAGCGUGGGGAGCGAACAGG
rnacentral:rRNA from 1 species